GAUAGACCUUAUCUACUUUGGGGGCCAAACUGCGGCGGCUUACACAUGCAGUCGAGCGCCCGAGGGGAGCGGCAGACGGGUGAGUAACGCGUGGGAAUCUACCCUUUUCUACGGAAUAACGCAGGGAAACUUGUGCUAAUACCGUAUGAGCCCUUCGGGGGAAAGAUUUAUCGGGAAAGGAUGAGCCCGCGUUGGAUUAGCUAGUUGGUUGGGUAAAGGCCUACCAAGGCGACGAUCCAUAGCUGGUCUGAGAGGAUGAUCAGCCACAUUGGGACUGAGACACGGCCCAAACUCCUACGGGAGGCAGCAGUGGGGAAUAUUGGACAAUGGGCGCAAGCCUGAUCCAGCCAUGCCGCGUGAGUGAUGAAGGCCCUAGGGUUGUAAAGCUCUCUCACCGGUGAAGAUAAUGACGGUAACCGGAGAAGAAGCCCCGGCUAACUUCGUGCCAGCAGCCGCGGUAAUACGAAGGGGGCUAGCGUUGUUCGGAAUUACUGGGCGUAAAGCGCACGUAGGCGGAUUGUUAAGUGAGGGGUGAAAUCCCAGGGCUCAACCCUGGAACUGCCUUUCAUACUGGCAAUCUAGAGUCCAGAAGAGGUGAGUGGAAUUCCGAGUGUAGAGGUGAAAUUCGUAGAUAUUCGGAGGAACACCGGUGGCGAAGGCGGCUCACUGGUCUGGAACUGACGCUGAGGUGCGAAAGCGUGGGGAGCAAACAGGAUUAGAUACCCUGGCAGUCCACGCCGUAAACGAUGAAUGUUAGCCGUCGGGCAGUUUACUGUUCGGUGGCGCAG
rnacentral:rRNA from 1 species